UGGGGAAUAUUGCACAAUGGGCGAAAGCCUGAUGCAGCAACGCCGCGUGAGUGAUGAAGGUCUUCGGAUUGUAAAGCUCCGUCUUUUGGGACGAUAAUGACGGUACCAAAGGAGGAAGCCACGGCUAACUACGUGCCAGCAGCCGCGGUAAUACGUAGGUGGCGAGCGUUGUCCGGAUUUACUGGGCGUAAAGGGUGCGUAGGCGGAUGUUUAAGUGAGAUGUGAAAUACCCGGGCUUAACUUGGGUGCUGCAUUUCAAACUGGAUAUCUAGAGUGCAGGAGAGGAGAAUGGAAUUCCUAGUGUAGCGGUGAAAUGCGUAGAGAUUAGGAAGAACACCAGUGGCGAAGGCGAUUCUCUGGACUGUAACUGACGCUGAGGCACGAAAGCGUGGGUAGCAAACAGGAUUAGAUACCCUGGUAGUCCACGCCGUAAACGAUGAGUACUAGGUGUAGGAGGUAUCGACCCCUUCUGUGCCGCAGUAAACACAUUAAGUACUCCGCCUGGGAAGUACGAUCGCAAGAUUAAA
rnacentral:rRNA from 1 species